GUAGGCUGAAACUCGCCUAUAUGAAGUCGGAAUUGCUAGUAAUCGCGGAUCAGCAUGCCGCGGUGAAUACGUUCCCGGGCCUUGUACACACCGCCCGUCACACCAUGAGAGUCGAUAACACCCGAAGCCUGUAGUCUAACAGCAAUGAGGACGCAGUCGAAGGUGGGAUUGAUAAUUAGGGUGAAGUCGUAACAAGGUAUC
rnacentral:rRNA from 1 species